AGAGAACUUGGCUAUCCAGAGCAUCAUUCCACUGAGUUCCUCAUCAUGCCUACAGCCUGCCCUGCCGCACCUUUUCCAGUGUUGGACAGCGUCUAUUUGAAAAGCAAAGAAGGAAAUCAGGUAUUGAAGCCUGCACAGAAAGGGUCAGCUGUGAAAGGUGAAUCAUCAGACUGCAAGUACAGAAGAGUUUAUGCAAACAUGGAAUGGAGUGCAGUUACACAGAGCUGUCUCCUUAGUAUUUGCUACUAA
rnacentral:lncRNA from 1 species